GCCCGGGUGGUGAAACUGGUAGACACAAGGGACUUAAAAUCCCUCGGAGAUAACUCCAUGCGGGUUCAACUCCCGCCCCGGGCACCA
rnacentral:tRNA from 1 species